UACGUAGGCAGCGAGCGUUGUUCGGAGUUACUGGGCGUAAAGGGUGUGUAGGCGGUUUGUUAAGUUUGGUGUGAAAUCUCCCGGCUCAACCGGGAGGGUGCGCCGGAAACUGAGUGACUAGAGUGCGGGAGAGGAAAGUGGAAUUCCUGGUGUAGCGGUGAAAUGCGUAGAUAUCAGGAGGAACACCGGUGGUGUAGACGGCUUUCUGGACCGUAACUGACGCUGAGACACGAAAGCGUGGGUAGCAAACAGG
rnacentral:rRNA from 1 species